AGUGAACGCUGGCGGUAGGCCUAACACAUGCAAGUCGAACGGCAGCACAGUAAGAGCUUGCUCUUACGGGUGGCGAGUGGCGGACGGGUGAGGAAUACAUCGGAAUCUACUUUUUCGUGGGGGAUAACGUAGGGAAACUUACGCUAAUACCGCAUACGACCUACUGGUGAAAGCAGGGGAUCUUCGGACCUUGCGCGAUUGAAUGAGCCGAUGUCGGAUUAGCUAGUUGGCGGGGUAAAGGCCCACCAAGGCGACGAUCCGUAGCUGGUCUGAGAGGAUGAUCCGCCACAUUGGAACUGAGACACGGUCCAGACUCCUACGGGAGGCAGCAGUGGGGAAUAUUGGACAAUGGGCGCAAGCCUGAUCCAGCCAUACCGCGUGGGUGAAGAAGGACUUCGGGUUGUAAAGCCCUGUUGUUGGGAAAGAAAAGCAGCAGGUUAAUACCCCGCUGUUCUGACGGUACCCAAAGAAUAAGCACCGGCUAACUUCGUG
rnacentral:rRNA from 1 species